rnacentral:rRNA from 1 species
AGUCGAGCGAACGGACGAGAAGCUUGCUUCUCUGAUGUUAGCGGCGGACGGGUGAGUAACACGUGGAUAACCUACCUAUAAGACUGGGAUAACUUCGGGAAACCGGAGCUAAUACCGGAUAAUAUUUUGAACCGCAUGGUUCAAAAGUGAAAGACGGUCUUGCUGUCACUUAUAGAUGGAUCCGCGCUGCAUUAGCUAGUUGGUAAGGUAACGGCUUACCAAGGCAACGAUGCAUAGCCGACCUGAGAGGGUGAUCGGCCACACUGGAACUGAGACACGGUCCAGACUCCUACGGGAGGCAGCAGUAGGGAAUCUUCCGCAAUGGGCGAAAGCCUGACGGAGCAACGCCGCGUGAGUGAUGAAGGUCUUCGGAUCGUAAAACUCUGUUAUUAGGGAAGAACAUAUGUGUAAGUAACUGUGCACAUCUUGACGGUACCUAAUCAGAAAGCCACGGCUAACUACGUGCCAGCAGCCGCGGUAAUACGUAGGUGGCAAGCGUUAUCCGGAAUUAUUGGGCGUAAAGCGCGCGUAGGCGGUUUUUUAAGUCUGAUGUGAAAGCCCACGGCUCAACCGUGGAGGGUCAUUGGAAACUGGAAAACUUGAGUGCAGAAGAGGAAAGUGGAAUUCCAUGUGUAGCGGUGAAAUGCGCAGAGAUAUGGAGGAACACCAGUGGCGAAGGCGACUUUCUGGUCUGUAACUGACGCUGAUGUGCGAAAGCGUGGGGAUCAAACAGGAUUAGAUACCCUGGUAGUCCACGCCGUAAACGAUGAGUGCUAAGUGUUAGGGGGUUUCCGCCCCUUAGUGCUGCAGCUAACGCAUUAAGCACUCCGCCUGGGGAGUACGACCGCAAGGUUGAAACUCAAAGGAAUUGACGGGGACCCGCACAAGCGGUGGAGCAUGUGGUUUAAUUCGAAGCAACGCGAAGAACCUUACCAAAUCUUGACAUCCUUUGACAACUCUAGAGAUAGAGCUUUCCCCUUCGGGGGACAAAGUGACAGGUGGUGCAUGGUUGUCGUCAGCUCGUGUCGUGAGAUGUUGGGUUAAGUCCCGCAACGAGCGCAACCCUUAAGCUUAGUUGCCAUCAUUAAGUUGGGCACUCUAAGUUGACUGCCGGUGACAAACCGGAGGAAGGUGGGGAUGACGUCAAAUCAUCAUGCCCCUUAUGAUUUGGGCUACACACGUGCUACAAUGGACAAUACAAAGGGCAGCGAAACCGCGAGGUCAAGCAAAUCCCAUAAAGUUGUUCUCAGUUCGGAUUGUAGUCUGCAACUCGACUACAUGAAGCUGGAAUCGCUAGUAAUCGUAGAUCAGCAUGCUACGGUGAAUACGUUCCCGGGUCUUGUACACACCGCCCGUCACACCACGAGAGUUUGUAACACCCGAAGCCGGUGGAGUAACCUUUUAGGAGCUAGCC